GCAUUGUCCUAAGCUGCGGCAUAGGUCACAGAUGCGGCGGUUCAGAUCUGCUGUGGCUGUGGCUUAGGCCUCAGCUGCAGCUUUGAGUCCACCACCAGCCAGGGAACUUCCGUAUGCGGCAGGUGCAGGCAUAAAAAGAAAAAUAAUAAUACUCCAGACCCAUAAGUCAAAGUAGCCACCAUCACAUAAACAAGCCAGAGGUACCUCAUCAGAAGGCGACCUGGUUAUCUGUCAUCGCCAACUGUCUCCGUGUCUAUUUCCUCUCGGGACUGUGGCUCCACCACUUGCAUGGACAUUCAAUUCAUGACCUGAGGUCUCCCCCACCAUCGCACCCCCUCACCUCCCCAGAGCCCGUCUGUCCUUCUGUCACUCUGUUCUGACGACUCUCCUCUUACCCAUAUCUAGAAUCACGCCCCCAUUCCCACCGUGACCAGCCCUCUCUCUAUUUCUCACCUCUACAAUCUCAGCUGCUUUGGACACAUUUCCCUGCCUUGGUUCCCAUUCUUAAGCUUCAUCUCUGAGUAGCCGUCUCUGAUGGGUUCCCAUCUCCCCCUCAUCCUCGUGUGACCCCCCCUGUACAUCGGCGCUCAUUUCUAUUAAAGCCUGUAUCAUCCGGAACGACAAUCCCCGCAUUCCAAACCCAGGCUGGGAAAACCUCAGCCUCCGGACAAGACAGGACAUAGUUACCGCCCAAGAAAGGAGUGAUCAGAAGAGCACAGUGCGGGAUGAGGAAAGAGUAGCCAAAAAUGUACUGUCAGAAAGUCACCUGCUGGUCAUAAAGAAACCCGGGGAGAUCAUUAAAAUGUCCCUCACCCCUUGCCCCCCACCUCCCAAGACUCAAGUGGGAAGAGAGUGUUUGUGAGAAACAGCAGGAGCAUGAACUGCUGAUUGGAAGAAAAAAAAAAAAGCCAAAUAAGUGUUGAAAAGAAGUUAUACACAGCCAGCCCUCAAACCCACCACUUCCUUACCCAUGAUUCAACCCACCACAAACCAACCUGGGGAAACCGAGAGCCAAGUGGAUUGACUGCACUGCACCCUUUAAUAGGAGGGGUUCAGCAUCCUCAGACUUCGGUAUCCGGGAGGUCCCGGAACCAAUCCCUGCAGAGAGCGAGGGACUGCUGUGCUUCAUUGUAAAGAGAGGACUUCAUUUUCCAUAACCAGGAUGGCGUUUUAUGCCACAGCGGUGGAGAAUUUUGCUGCUCAAAUGUUGCAUGAAAUCCCUCAAGGGGAGAACUACCUUCAGGACUUGUCACUUUCAAGAUCACUUCUGAAGUGCCAAAAGCACUGCCCUACCAAGUGAAACAGGCCAGAGAGCUCUCCAACGGAUGCCAACACCUACUCAAACAUCCCGACACCCACAGUGCUGCCUGAGGCACCCUUUUCCUCCCUCCAAACUCUUCCAGGUGAGAGGCCUUGAUCUUUAAACACAGUCAAAUAUAGAGAUGACUCCAAAAUACGGAUCUCUAGUCCCAAUCAUUCCCAAAUGGCCCCUACUCUCUACGAC
rnacentral:lncRNA from 1 species